GUUAGAGAAAAAGAGAGAGAAACCGUGAGAGAGAGUGAGAGAGAGAGAGAGAUGAAGCCCAUUUAAUUUUCUUUGCUGGGAGGAAUUUGAUAGGAAGCUUAGAAUUAAAGAUAAAGGAAGAUCUUGAAGACUAAUAGGUGGGCAUCCGAGGCCUUAUAUCGACUUAACCAACUGUGAGUAACAUUCCUAUAAAGGUGGUCAGGCACCGGAUCAAAGUUAGCGGCGUCAUCCUAAUUCCAUUUCGUCAAGCCAACCCACUGUGCCUCCCGUGGAGGUUUCGGAUAUGUCUAGUGAUUAUGGCUAAGUGCAUAAGUUGAAGUUUUGUUUUCCUGUUCAGCUAAACAAGUCUUUGUGUAUUUUGUAAAUAGGGCUAAGUCUCUUUUUGUCUAGCUUAUAUAUGUAUAUAUA